rnacentral:rRNA from 1 species
UACGUAGGGUGCAAGCGUUGUCCGGAAUUAUUGGGCGUAAAGAGCUUGUAGGCGGUUUGUCGCGUCUGCUGUGAAAUUUCGGGGCUCAACCCCGAACUUGCAGUGGGUACGGGCAGACUAGAGUGUGGUAGGGGAGACUGGAAUUCCUGGUGUAGCGGUGAAAUGCGCAGAUAUCAGGAGGAACACCGGUGGCGAAGGCGGCUAUCUGGACAGAAACUGACGCUGAGGCGCGAAAGCUAGGGGAGCAAACGGG